AUGAUGAUGAUGAGAAUUAAAAUGAUGAUGAUGAUGACUGACUGACUGACUGAU
rnacentral:snoRNA from 1 species